rnacentral:rRNA from 2 species
UACGUAGGUGGCGAGCGUUAUCCGGAAUGAUUGGGCGUAAAGGGUGCGUAGGCGGCCUGCUAAGUCUGGAGUGAAAGGUACCGGCUCAACCGGUACAGGCUCUGGAAACUGGCGGGCUAGAGAGCAGGAGAGGGCGGUGGAACUCCAUGUGUAGCGGUGAAAUGCUUAGAUAUCACGAAGAACUCCGAUUGCGAAGGCAGCUCACUGGACUGCAACUGACACUGAGGCUCGAAAGUGUGGGUAUCAAACAGG